UACGUAGGUGGCAAGCGUUUGUCCGGAUUUACUGGGCGUAAAGAGCGCGCAGGCGGUCGUUCAAGUCGCGUGUGAAAGCCCCCCGGCUCAACUGGGGAGGGUCACGCGAUACUGAUCGACUCGAAGGCAGGAGAGGGUAGUGGAAUUCCCGGUGUAGUGGUGAAAUGCGUAGAUAUCGGGAAGAACACCCGUGGCGAAGGCGGUUCUCUGGGACGGUACUGACGGCUAGACGCGAAAGCGUGGGGAGCGAACAGG
rnacentral:rRNA from 1 species